UACAGAGGUCUCAAGCGUUACUCGGAAUUACUGGGCGUAAAGCGUGCGUAGGUGGUUUGUUAAGUCUGUUGUGAAAGCCCCGGGCUCAACCUGGGAAUGGCAAUGGAUACUGGCAAGCUAGAGUGCGGUAGAGGGUAGUGGAAUUCCCGGUGUAGCGGUGAAAUGCGUAGAGAUCGGGAGGAACACCAGUGGCGAAGGCGGCUACCUGGACCAGCACUGACACUGAGGCACGAAAGCGUGGGGAGCAAACAGG
rnacentral:rRNA from 1 species